AUUGAACGCUGGCGGCAGGCCUAACACAUGCAAGUCGAGCGAGAAAGCCCUUCGGGGUGAGUAGAGCGGCGGACGGGUGAGUAACGCGUAGGAAUCUACCUGGUAGUGGGGGACAACAUGUGGAAACGCAUGCUAAUACCGCAUACGCCCUAUGGGGGAAAGCGUGGGACCUUCGGGCCACGCGCUAUCAGAUGAGCCUGCGUAAGAUUAGCUAGUUGGUGGGGUAAAGGCCUACCAAGGCGACGAUCUUUAGCUGGUCUGAGAGGAUGAUCAGCCACACUGGAACUGAGACACGGUCCAGACUCCUACGGGAGGCAGCAGUGGGGAAUAUUGCGCAAUGGGGGAAACCCUGACGCAGCCAUGCCGCGUGUGUGAAGAAGGCCUUAGGGUUGUAAAGCACUUUCAGCGGGGAGGAAAAGCUUGACGUU
rnacentral:rRNA from 1 species